CCUUGGGCUUUGGACAGCAAGAGUGCAACGCAACUGAAAUGGGAGAAAUGGAAAACGAUGACUGAAAAUUCUUUUUGGCCUAUCUGUGGGUGAGUCGGCCUUAUCUAUAGGGCUAUAGAUCGAUAGGUUUAUGAGUCUCUUUACUAUCAGUGCGGGGCCUCUUACAACACACAGCCGCUCGUCCGUCCCACUCUCAGGCCCACUCCCAGUCGCAGUCACAGUCGCAGACGAAGAGAUAAUCGUUCCUCAUACACAGACACCAUUACACUGUAAGGCUCCAUAAAGGUACGACGCCAAUGCAAUCGAUCCAUAGAUCAGCCGGGGGGGAGGCAGAAGGUGAGAGAAGGUGGUAGUGCUGGUGGUGGUGCUGGUGGUGCUGCUGGUGGUGGUGCUGGCGGUGGGCAUUAGAAAUCGUUUAUACAGCGUCCCAAUACAUGGACAUAUAUGUAGUGUGCCGGUAUGUAUAAUCGGGCACGUGACAUGGUUUUCCAACUAAUGAAAGCAGCAGCAGCUGGCCAACUCUUCGACUUCUUCUGCGUCUUUAGUUCGGGGCCUCGAGCCGACUCAUAAAGAUAAAACGCAAUCCAAGCGAUCCAAGUAAUGGCACCAGUACCACUACCGGUACCAGAGCCCGUACCAAUGACCAGAAGUCGCGAUCAAAUGCAUUCAAUUCGAUUGGACGAUGGCCCUGGACAGAGUGGACACCGGGUGUAUCUGAGGGGUAUCUAACAGAGGGGUAUAAUCGAGAGUGAUCUCAGUCAGAGCCGACCUCGGUGGGGGCGGCGAAUGAGGACAACUUCAAGAGUAUUUCGAACAGAAUGCGAUUUGAAACCAGAACCCCCACAGGUCUUAUCGCAAAGCGAACGAAAGUAAACCAAAGCGAACCGAAAUGCGUUGCCUAAUGAUGAUGGAUCGUGAAUUUGAGAUGAUCGAUGAUUUGCCCGGCGAUAAGCGGAGCCCCGGAAAUGCCGCCCCAAAACUGGAGAAGGUGUUGAAAUAGUGUUAGGCGGGGGGAGAGUGGCUCUCCGAUUCUCUGGUGCUCUCGAGCUCUGCUUCUGCUAUUUCUGUGGCUGUGUUCCUCCUGAGAAUUGUUUACCUGGAAUACGAUUUUUAUGAUACGCUUCUUAUGUGUGGUUUUCUUUGAGAGUCUGAAUCGGUUGCUCAACCCACCCGUUCUUGUUAUCCGUUAUCUCUUUUCCUGAUAAUGCCUGCACACCAAUACCCAUGGAAUACACAUCUACACAUUCAAGACAUGGAAAGAUUGCGAAUCACGCCAGAUGGCAGAAGGAUGGGAGACACUCCAAAGGGAAAGAAGAAGAUGGCUCUGAAAAGGGACACAGAUUGUACUACAGGAGGAGAAACUGUGAAGAGAAAAGAUACAACCGCAGAAGAAACUCAAAUAAAAUAAUAGGAAAGAGAAGAACUACAGGAGAAAGGGGUUAGCCAAUAUG